rnacentral:misc_RNA from 1 species
AAGUCGUAACAAGGUCUCCGUUGGUGAACCAGCGGAGGGAUCAUUACCGAGUUGCAAAACUCCCAAACCCAUUGUUUACCUAUCUCGCAAAAGAGCCCUGCCUCGGCGGGCGGCCCCGGGGAGGCCCAAAUUCGUAUUUUUAGUGUCUCUCUGAGCCUAAAGACAAAUAGUCAAAACUUUCAACAACGGAUCUCUUGGUUCUG